AUGCUGAGGCAUUUCCACUGUUUGACUGGAGUAAUUCUGGACCUGGAACAAAGGAAGAACAAAGCUUACCAAGCUGGGGAGAUGAGUGCCACGAGCAGCUUUUCAGAGAUGCAGCCAAUCCUGCAACAAAUGACAGGAUUUGCGGUCAGCAGCGAGGCCAAAAGCCGGCGUCCAUCGAGCUGUAGGAUUUGGCCACAGGGCAGUGCCUGGAUCUGCAUGCCAAGCAAGGAUCCCUGCCAGUGCCUGGUGUCAGGCUGUUUAUUUCUGUCCGGAUUAAAACCAAUUAGAACGUCAAGCAGCAAAAUCAGAGUGCAGCUGUCGUUUAAAGGAUGUGGUGGGCACCGGGGAAGACUGGAAGUUAAUUGGUCAAUGACUAGAAGGAAGGCCACCGGAGAUUUUUCAGGCGUGGAGAGACAAGAACACAAGAGUCGGCAUUGCCCAGCACAGGGAGGGCAGUCACACGAGCCAUUAAUGGUCAAUAAACCCAGCAAAUUUUGUUGGUUCCUGCUGGAGGCUUGGAAAUGUCCCCGUUUGUGGUGGUUCAGCAGCAGCAAAGCUUGGAGAGAAGUGGGAAGAGGUGUGGUGGGGGCAGGAGAUGUGAAAAUGAACCAUGACCUUUGCCCGCGUGGUCGCCUCUUGGACGUUUGGUCCUGACUGUCACGGUAUCCAUCAGCUCUGCAGCAUGCAGAGCCAGCUCCUCUGGAACGUGGAAUUUGUGCUUCUGGAAGGGAACGUGGAGCUUAUUGCCAGUGCUGAAGGCUGGUUGUGUUUCUCACGGUGGCGAGGGCUGGUCGCCCACGCUCCGCUGCUGCUGUGAUUCAGCGGCGUGGAGCGGCUGCCACAAAAGCCAAAUUCAUCCAUUGGAGAGCUGGGAGAAAGCCUGCUGGGAUCCUGAUAAAACACGUGCUGCCAAGAGGAAAAACCCAGCCUUUGUUGGUUAAGGAUGGAGCAAAUCCUGCCCUCAAACCCCUCCGUGGCCAGAGACUGCCAGACCCGGCGCUGGUGUCCCGCUGGAGCCACACCCUCGCAUCCUGCUGGUCCCAGUGGCACCUGCAGCCCGGCCUGGAGCAUCUCCUGCCGUAAGAUCCCAAGGGAAAGUCCAACCUGGACUUGACAGCAAACCAAAUGGAGCGCAACUGAACCGCGAGCGUGAUGCGAAACACCGUUUUGGCCGGACGGAACGCAGUUUCCACAACCUGGUUUUAAGGAACAGUAUCACACAGAGAUAGAUACACUAUGCUAGGUCUGGAGGAGAGAAAAGAAACCAAUAUGCUAAAUAAACUAAGACAUACAGUAUAGGGGAUAUUCUGAUCAACAAACCAAUCACCAUUAGAAUCAAAAAGUAAAACCAGCCUUUCACUUAGGACCCUAACAACAUUUCUCAAUGCACUAAGUACAUUUUAAACCAUGCAAGUUUACACAAACAUCUUAACUAGGUUUUUUUUUUUUUUUUACUUUUUAAAACACCAACAUUAUGCAU
rnacentral:lncRNA from 12 species